rnacentral:ribozyme from 1 species
CUGACCUACUGUUCUGUAAAAGGGUUGGAUCCGACGUCCCUAGAAGGCUACCAUAGGCUCUCCUUCUCAACUCCUACUCAAUACGUCCACGACGUGCAGAACGGUAACUUGUCGCCUAGAUCCAAUAUUGGGUACACGGGGAAACCCACCCCCUUGGGCGGAUGGUCGGCAAGGCUGAAUUGAGAGGG